CUACGGGUCGCAGCAGUCGCGAAACCUUUACAAUGCACGAAAGUGUGAUAAGGGAAUCCCAAGUGCUUAUCUUACGAUAGGCUUUUGUUAAGUAUAAGUAUCUUGGCGAAUAAGUGGUGGGCAAGACCGGUGCCAGCAGCCGCGGUAACACCGGCGCCACAAGUGGUAACCAUGUUUAUUGGGCCUAAAGCGUUCGUAGCUGACUUAGCAACUCUUUUGUGAAAUUGUUGAGCUUAACUUAACAUUGUGCAAAAGAAACUACUAAGUUUGAGACCGGGAAGAGAUAGAGGUAUUCUUUGGGAAACGGUUAAAUGUUUUAAUCCUUAGAAGACCACCAAUGGCGAAGGCAUCUAUCUAGAACGGGUCUGACAGUGAGGAACGAAAGCUAGGGGAGCGAACCGGAUUAGAUACCCGGGUAGUC
rnacentral:rRNA from 1 species